rnacentral:rRNA from 1 species
CACAGGGAGGUAGUGACAAUAAAUAACAAUGCCGGGCCUUUACAGGUCUGGCAAUUGGAAUGAGAACAAUUUAAAUCCCUUAUCGAGUAUCAAUUGGAGGGCAAGUCUGGUGCCAGCAGCCGCGGUAAUUCCAGCUCCAAUAGCGUAUAUUAAAGUUGUUGCAGUUAAAAAGCUCGUAGUUGAAUUUCUGGUGGGAGUGUACAGUCCGACACUGAGUGUUGGUUCUUGUGUGUCUCCGGCCAUCCUUGGAGUGAAUCUAUCUGGCAUUCAGUUGUUGGGUAGAGUAUCUCCAUCGUUUACUGUGAGGAAAGGAAAGUGUUCAAAGCAGGCUUACGCCGUUGAAUCUUUUAGCAUGGAAUAAUAAGAUAGGAUCUUGAUACUAUUUUGUUGGUUUGCGUGUCGAGAUAAUGAUCAAUAGGGACAGUUGGGGGUAUUUGUAUUCCAUAGUCAGAGGUGAAAUUCUUGGAUUUAUGGAAGACAAACUAAUGCGAAAGCAUCUACCAAGGAUGUUUUCAUUAAUCAAGAACGAAAGUGUGGGGAUCGAAGAUGAUUAGAUACCAUCGUAGUCUACACCAUAAACCAUGCCGACUCAGGGUUGACCGGCGUUAUCAUGACCUGGUCAGAACUGUAUGAGAAAUCAAAGUCUUUGGGUUCCGGGGGGAGUAUGGUCGCAAGGCUGA